rnacentral:rRNA from 1 species
UACGUAGGCCUCGAGCGUUAUCCGGAUUUAUUGGGCGUAAAGAGCAUGUAGGAGGCUUCCUCAGUCUUUGGUUAAAGACCACCGCCUAACGGUGGGACUGCUGAGGAUACUGGGAAGCUGGAGGAGGUUAGAGGUGCAUAGAACGCAUGGUGUAGGGGUGAAAUCCGUUGAUAUCAUGCGGAAUACCAAAGGCGAAGGCAGUGCACUGGGACCUUCCUGACUCUGAGAUGCGAAAGCGUGGGGAGCAAAAAGG